rnacentral:lncRNA from 10 species
UUUUGAAUGAGUUGGUCAAUAUAUGUAUUUAGACAUCAAGCGCCGUAAGUAUGUAUGAUUUUUGUCAACAACACCUUAAUUAUCUUGCACAUACAGGCACUGAUUAUUGAAAGGUUCCCUUACGUUUUAGCAGCUACCAAAUUAUAAGUGAUACAAAGUAUUUGUUUCCAAUUCCCCAAGAAAUCAAUCUGUAUUAUGCUUCUACCCUCUCUUUCCUCCAUUUUCUUUACCAAUUUCAUGAUCUUGCUAAAUUUUAUAUAUUCUGCUGAGCAAUGUGAAAAUCCUUUCUGGUAUAAGGUAAGGAUAUAAACUGUUCAGCUGGCAAAUGAUGCUAUUCAGUAAGUAGUUAAUGAAACAGGUUUAUAACAUUGGGUGUACUAUAAUUUCUAUUUUAAGAACUGUUUCCAGUUUAUAAUAACCCAUGCUACAUUUUGACUUUGUUUUGAAUUGAUGACAAGUCUAUUAACCAAAUAUUUCAAGAUCAGGUGUAUUCUGGAAAAGGAACAGGAAGAAAAUAUAUUUAAAAAACUAAAAGAAAUUUAACACAAACUGAGAAACAAUAACCAACUUUUAUGAGUGCAUUUUUUAUGGAGGUGGUGUUCAGUAAAUAAGACUGCCCUAGCUUAUAACUACUUUAACAGAAGUUUACAUUCAGUCAAAUUGAGUCUGAAACAGUAGAUCAUUUUCUUUCAAAGCUGACAUUGCUUUAAUAGCAUGUAAGACAUGUUAUCUUCAUGUAUUUUACUAUAUACUAUUUUUACUAUGAAAGUGACCACAGAUGUCAGAGUUUUUUGUACCUUCACUAGACCUGAUUGCUCAGACAGCAUGAGAGUAAUACAGUAAGAUUCAUAUUUUCCUGGUGAAACCUAUGCACUGUAAUUUAAUGGUUUUUGCAAAUCAUAAACAUGUAAAAUAUCAAAGGAGUACUUAUUCUCAUUAAAGGGGAAAUUACUUGUCCAGUUAAAUUGGAUAUGAAGGAUGUCUUCAAUUCAGGAAUUAUUCCUUUUGUGUAUUCACCAGUGAUUUUUGUUCGUCUUGCUUCUCUUCAGAAAUGGUGUAAAAAAGAAAGUAAACCAGACUUGGGACCAGGUGCAGGGCUCACGCCAGUACUUUGGGAGGCCAAGGUGGGCAGAUCACCUGAGGUCAGGAGUUUGAGACCAGCCUGGUCAACAUGGCGGAACUCCAUCUCUACUAAAAAUACAAAAAUUAGCCCGGUGUGGUGGCACACGCCUGUAUUCCCAGCUACCUGGGAGGCUGAGGCAGGAGAAUCGCUUACACCCGGGAGGUGGAGGUUGCAGUGAGUCAAGAUCACGCCAUUGCACUCCAGCCUGGGUGACAGAGGGAGCCUCUGUCUCAAAAAAACAAAACAAAACAAACCACACUAGACUCAGUUUUUCUUAAAA